CCUACGGGAGACAGCAGUGGGGAAUUUUGCGCAAUGCUCGUAAGAGUGACGCAGCGACGCCGCGUGAAUGACGAAGGCCUUCGGGUCGUAAAGUUCUUGCGACAGGGAAGAAAAUGCCUAUAAGUAACUGUGUAUGUAUUGACGGUACCUGUAUAAGCAGCCCCGGUUAACUCCGUGCCAGCAGCCGCGGUAAUACGGAGGGGGCGAGCGUUGUUCGGAGGGACUGGGCGUAAAGAGCACGUAGGCGGUGUUGUAAGUCAUUAGUCAAAGACUAGAGCUCAACUUUAGUAAGGCUAGUGAUACUAUAAUACUAGAGUAUCAGAGAGGAUUGCAGAAUUCCUGGUGUAGCGGUGAAAUGCGUAGAUAUCAGGAGGAAUACCGUUAGCGAAGGCGGCAAUCUGGCUGGAAACUGACGCUGAGGUGCGAAAGCGUGGGUAGCAAACAGGAUUAGAUACCCGAGUAGUC
rnacentral:rRNA from 1 species